AGCGAACGCUGGCGGCAGGCCUAACACAUGCAAGUCGAACGAAGUCUUCGGACUUAGUGGCGGACGGGUGAGUAACACGUGGGAACGUGCCUUUAGGUUCGGAAUAACUCAGGGAAACUUGUGCUAAUACCGAAUGUGCCCCUCGGGGGAAAGAUUUAUCGCCUUUAGAGCGGCCCGCGUCUGAUUAGCUAGUUGGUGAGGUAAAGGCUCACCAAGGCGACGAUCAGUAGCUGGUCUGAGAGGAUGAUCAGCCACAUUGGGACUGAGACACGGCCCAAACUCCUACGGGAGGCAGCAGUGGGGAAUCUUGCGCAAUGGGCGAAAGCCUGACGCAGCCAUGCCGCGUGAAUGAUGAAGGUCUUAGGAUUGUAAAAUUCUUUCACCGGGGACGAUAAUGACGGUACCCGGAGAAGAAGCCCCGGCUAACUUCGUGCCAGCCGCCGCAGUAAAAC
rnacentral:rRNA from 1 species